UUUUAUGGAGAGUUUGAUCCUGGCUCAGGACGAACGCUGGCGGCGUGCCUAAUACAUGCAAGUCGAGCGGACGAAUUUUCGGUGCUUGCACCGAAUUUUCGUUAGCGGCGGACGGGUGAGUAACACGUGGGUAACCUACCUUAUAGAUUGGGAUAACUCCGGGAAACCGGGGCUAAUACCRAAUAAUACUUUUUAACACAUGUUUGAAAGUUGAAAGACGGUUUUGCUGUCACUAUAAGAUGGACCCGCGGCGCAUUAGCUAGUUGGUGAGGUAACGGCUCACCAAGGCAACGAUGCGUAGCCGACCUGAGAGGGUGAUCGGCCACACUGGGACUGAGACACGGCCCAGACUCCUACGGGAGGCAGCAGUAGGGAAUCUUCCACAAUGGACGAAAGUCUGAUGGAGCAACGCCGCGUGAGUGAAGAAGGAUUUCGGUUCGUAAAACUCUGUUGCAAGGGAAGAACAAGUAGCGUAGUAACUGGCGCUACCUUGACGGUACCUUGUUAGAAAGCCACGGCUAACU
rnacentral:rRNA from 1 species